AUACUUACCCGGCAGGGGAGACACCAUGAUCACCAAGGUGGUUUUCUCAGGGCAAGGCUUAUCCAUUGCACUCCAGAUGUGCUGACUUAUGUGAUUUCCCCAAAUGUGGGAAAUUUGACUACAUAAUUUGUGGUAGUGGGAGGGACUGCAAUUACACUCUCCCC
ensembl:snRNA U1 U1 spliceosomal RNA